ACUCAAAGGAAUUGACGGGGGCCCGCACAAGCGGAGGAACAUGUGGUUUAAUUCGAUGAUACGCGAGGAACCUUACCCGGGCUUGAAAGUUAGUGACGGACUGUGAAAGCGGUCUUCCCUUCGGGGCACGAAACUAGGUGCUGCAUGGUUGUCGUCAGCUCGUGCCGUGAGGUGUCGGGUUAAGUCCCAUAACGAGCGCAACCCCUACCGUUAGUUGCCAGCGGGUCAUGCCGGGAACUCUAACGGGACUGCCUGUGUAAGCAGAGAGGAAGGUGGGGAUGACGUCAAAUCAGCACGGCCCUUACGUCCGGGGCGACACACGUGUUACAAUGGUCGGUACAGAGGGUCGCUACCCAGUGAUGGGAUGCCAAUCUCGAAAACCGAUCUCAGUUCGGAUCGGAGGCUGAAACUCGCCUCCGUGAAGUUGGAUUCGCUAGUAAUCGCGCAUCAGCCAUGGCGCGGUGAAUACGUUCCCGGGCCUUGUACACACCGCCCGU
rnacentral:rRNA from 1 species